CUUAUAAGUAAGUAAUCUACUAUUAUGAAAUUCAGAAACAUAUAACAACGUUCUUUGGUCUCGCACAAUUUGGAAAUCCGCUCUUUGAAAUCGCACAGAAGUUCGCGCCUGCUCCGAGCGUUUGUUUUCUACCCACCGAUACGAAAACAGGUUACAAAGCAAAACAGUUUGGAAAAAAGGAAGAGAAAACGAUGACGAAGAAUUUAUGCAGAAUAUAAAGUUGCGACUGUGAUCGGGAUCCAGCUACACUUUUCAGAAGUGGCUUUGUGUUUUCUCGAAACGCACACGUUUGCACACAAUGUAACUACGAUUCGUGGCUUCGUACACGAAAACGAUUCCUGAGAAACGGCAACAUCCAUCUUCAAGGCAGACAAACAAUGGAAAAAGAUGUUUCUAAAAUAAUAUUUGCGAUUCGUUCGAAGAGAGAGAGAGAGAGAGAGAGAGAGAGAGAAAGGGAGAGAGAGAGAGAGAGAGAGAGAAAGAUCACCAGAAUAGCGAUCACAGUCUUUUAAUACUUAUGGUCGUGGGUGUGUCUGUUAAACGAAACGCGACCUCCACACCCCGUUAAACGCCCCGAAUGAAAAACCGUACAAAUCGUUCAGUUUCAGCCGCUUGACACGUGUCUGACACAACGACGAGAACAAUCAGCUUAGUUCUGCAGUGCAUUCGGCGCGAAAGAGCAGCACUUCGCAAGGGAGAUCAUUGAUCUAUCAGAGUGGCUGUCGAAAAUCUUGUAAAACAAUUACUUGAAAGCAACAUUGGCAGAGGAACUCUUCCCAUCUUUAACAUUCGAAACAGUGAAGAUAAUUCACAGGGAUUAUUUGGUUUCGAUCGAGAAACGAGGAAAAAUCAAUAAUACUUUCCAGUAGAAAACGAAAACGAUAAAGAAGAAUGACUUCGAGCGACAGAGAGGAAAAAGGAAAAUUGUAAGAAGAGGACAGAAGAGGGCUAACGGAAAGGAUUCUUUCAAUUAGUUUGUCGACUCUUGAGAUUCCAGUUAAUCGACUCUCUUCUCGGACGUCUGCUACUCUAAUGAUCGUUCACAUUGAGAGAGACGUUGGAUGGUUUCUCCAUUAUGCAAGAAGUUGAACGCAUCCAUAUUGAUAAGCCAAGUUCUUGGAUUCUCCGUAAUAUGUACUUCAAAAACGUUUCGAUAAAUCUUUACGGUGCGUUCAGACCAAGUCUUGCUUCGCCUUAGCAAAAAUUCGGCGAUAGAAUGCACGUCUGCAGUUUCGAUUUGCUAAAUUUUACCAACGUCAGGGAAAAACGAGUAUUCGCUUGGUCGUACCAUUGGAUUAAAUCUGUAGA